UCCUACGGGGGGCAGCAGUGAGGAAUAUUGGUCAAUGGGCGGAAGCCUGAACCAGCCAAGUCGCGUGAGGGAAUAAGGCCCUACGGGUCGUAAACCUCUUUUGCGGGGGAGCAAGGGCCGGGACGCGUCCCGGCCCGGAGAGUACCCGGAGAAAAAGCAUCGGCUAACUCCGUGCCAGCAGCCGCGGUAAUACGGAGGAUGCGAGCGUUAUCCGGAUUUAUUGGGUUUAAAGGGUGCGUAGGCGGUUUGAUAAGUUAGAGGUGAAAUACCGGUGCUCAACACCGGAACUGCCUCUAAUACUGUUG
rnacentral:rRNA from 1 species